CUCGGGCUCGGCCCGGCUCGGCUCGGCUCGGCUCGGCUGCGCUCGGUUGGACUCGUUCGGCCCGGCUCUACUGUGCUCGGCUCUACCGGGCUCGGCUCGGCUCGGCCCGGCCCGGCCCGCUCCGCUGCAGGGGCGCGCGCCUGGGGCCGGGUCUGGGUUUGGGACCCGCAGCGCGGGCCUGAUCCGGAAUUGGGAGCCGUCUCCAGGCCCCGUCCCGAGCCCGAGGCGGGGCCCGCGCGGCCGGAGGAUCCCGGGCCUGUCCGGUGCCAAGGAUGUUCCCGCAGAACCGGCCCCCGGCCCAUCUCCAGGCCCCCUCUGCUGCUUCGGGAGCCGCUGUCGCUGCCAGUGCCAUCCCCAGCACCCCCCAGUCCCUCAAACUGACUUACCCAGAGACCUUGGACCGCAUCAAGGAGGAAUUCCAGUUCCUACAGAACCAAUACCACAGCUUGAAGUUAGAAUGCGAAAAGCUGGCAACAGAAAAAACAGAAAUCCAGCGUCAUUAUGUCAUGUACUAUGAGAUGUCCUAUGGCCUGAACAUUGAGAUGCACAAACAGACGGAGAUCGCCAAGCGGCUCAAUGUGAUCUGCGCUCAGCUCAUCCCGUUCCUGUCUCAAGAGCACCAGCAGCAAGUGGUCCAGGCUGUGGAGCGUGCGAAGCAGGUGACUAUGACCGACCUGAACGUGGCAAUUGGGCACCAGCUCCAGACCCAGCACCUCUCGCACCAUGCUCCCCCCAUCCCGCUGACCCCCCACCCCUCUGGGUUGCAGCCCACUGGCCUUGCUGGCAUCAGCAGUGCCUCAGGGCUGCUGGCACUCUCGGGGGCACUGGGGGCCCAGGCCCAGCUCCUCACCAAGGAUGACCGAGGAGUCCCUGACGCGGAGCCCAGGGCGACAGACCGAGACCCCGGCCCUAGCUCCGUGGCACUGCCAAAUGGGGAACGGGCGCGAGCCAUCGCUGAGUAUCUGAGCAGCAGCAAAAAAAGGAAGGUGGAAGAGAAGGACUUCGUUACAGACUAUGUGAGCCUGGGGCUUGGGGGCGCAGGAUGGCCCCAUCCCUUCUUGUGGGGCAAAGAAUGGAACUGCCUUUGCCUCCGGUGCAUCCCCAGGCAGGAGCAAGGGUGGCUGCAGCCCCUUUGUCUUCAAGUGUCCUCUGUGUUUCAGGGCAGCGAUGCAGACAAAAGUGAGGACAACUUGGUGGUGGAUGAGGACCCCUCUUCACCGCACAGCGUCCACUCCUACUCAUCCCGGGAGAACGGAGUGGAGAAGGUCCCACUGGGGAGGAAGGAGGCCAUGCCGCUCAGCCCGACCUCCAUGGCCUCCUCCAGCAGCUCCCCAUCUCGGAGCAAGGAUGCGCCCACAGUGGAGAAGGCAGGGACGCCCAGCCUGAAGUCCAGCACCCCUACUUCCCAGGGCGACUCUGCGGCCCCAGGCUCCAGUGGCGCCCAGCAGUUUCGCCCUGCUGCUGCCAAGGCCCCUAUAGACCCCCUGGCCCUGGGCCUGAGGAAUCCACUGGGAGUGCAGAGUCCCUACUCGGCUGCCUUUGGCUUGGCCCACCCUGCAGUCAAUGGGGAUGUGGCCGGGACUGGUGCCUACGCCAGCCUCCACCUCAUGUCCCCGCAGCUCAACGGGGCUGCAGCCGCCAUGGGAGCCAGCAGCUACGGACGCUCCCCCCUGGUGGGCUACGACCCACACCCCCACAUGCGCAUCCCAGGGCUGGUGGCUGGCAUACAAGUGGGGACCUCGGGGAAGCCUGCCUACUCCUUCCAUGUCAGUGCCGACGGGCAGAUGCAGCCGGUGCCUUUUCCACCUGACGCACUCAUCGGCUCUGGCAUCCCCCGCCAUGCACGGCAGCUCCACACCCUGACCCACGGCGAGGUGGUCUGCGCUGUCACCAUCAGCAACUCCACACGACAUGUCUACACGGGGGGCAAGGGCUGCGUGAAGGUGUGGGAUGUGGGGCAGCCGGGCACCAAGACAGCCGUGGCUCAGCUUGACUGCCUAAACCGUGACAACUACAUCCGCUCCUGCAAACUACUCCCGGAUGGCCGGAGCCUGAUUGUGGGGGGGGAGGCCAGCACCCUCUCCAUCUGGGACCUGGCAGCCCCCACACCCCGCAUCAAGGCUGAGCUCACCUCCUCUGCCCCCGCCUGCUACGCUCUGGCCAUCAGCCCUGAUGCCAAAGUCUGCUUCUCUUGCUGCAGCGAUGGCAACAUCGUAGUGUGGGACCUGCAGAACCAGACCCUGGUCAGGCAGUUUCAAGGCCACACAGAUGGUGCCAGCUGCAUUGACAUCUCCAACGAUGGCACCAAGCUGUGGACAGGGGGGCUGGACAACACUGUGCGCUGCUGGGACCUGCGGGAGGGGCGCCAGCUGCAGCAGCACGACUUCAGCUCCCAGAUCUUCUCCCUGGGCUACUGCCCAACGGGAGAGUGGCUGGCGGUGGGGAUGGAGAGCAGUAAUGUGGAGAUCCUGCACGUCACCAAACCUGACAAGUACCAGCUGCACCUCCACGAAAGCUGUGUCCUCUCCCUCAAAUUUGCCUCCUGUGGUAGGCACGCCUCUCCUGGCCUUCCUUCUCUGGAGCCUCAUGGAUGCCACCUCUACUUCUGGUCGUGUGUCACAGGGCUCAUUGCACUGGGGGCAACCAUUGGUUCCAGUAGUCAGCCUUGUCCCCAGUGGAUGACAGUUGUAUCCAUCAGAGAAGGGGCAUCUGUCCUUCCUGGAGCAGCGCUGGCAGCUGCACGCUCAGCUCUGUUGUCUCAGGACUCCCCUUUGUGUUCCUGAAAACAGCCCUUUGGCUCUUGGGUAGCAAAGACUUGGCUGCCUUGUCCACACCCUGUGUUCCACAGUCUGGGCAGGAUGUUCUGCUGAAAUCCAGCUGCUGGGCCUGGUUUGGUGACACGAGGCUCCUUUGUCCCUCCACAGGGAAGUGGUUCGUGAGCACGGGGAAGGACAACCUGCUGAACGCCUGGCGGACACCCUACGGAGCCAGCAUCUUCCAGUCGAAGGAAACCUCCUCUGUCCUCAGCUGCGACGUCUCCACGGAUGACCAGUUCAUUGUGACUGGCUCAGGG